CAUGGUGCGUUUGACCUGGGGAAGAUACUCCACUCCCUAUAGGGUGGAUGAUGCAGCAGUGGAAGAGACUUGGGAUCCGGGAGCAGUGGAUUAACAAAACGGUAUUAGAUAUUAAAAAAGAAGCAGCAGCAGACAUACUAAACAGCUGCAGCCAUAGCGUGCGAUUACAGCGCAGCUGCUCGUCCCCUAUAUUGUGGGAAAA
rnacentral:lncRNA from 1 species